rnacentral:rRNA from 1 species
UACGUAGGGGGCAAGCGUUGUCCGGAAUCAUUGGGCGUAAAGAGCGUGUAGGCGGCCCGAUAAGUCCGCUGUGAAAGUCCAGGGCUCAACCCUGGAAUGCCGGUGGAUACUGUCGGGCUCGAAUCCGGAAGAGGUGAGUGGAAUUCCUGGUGUAGCGGUGGAAUGCGCAGAUAUCAGGAGGAACACCAAUGGCGAAGGCAGCUCACUGGGACGGUAUUGACGCUGAGACGCGAAAGCGUGGGGAGCAAACAGG